GGCAAGCCGCUCGUCACGGUCAUGGCCGAGGCCCAGGCGAUGAACAAGUCCGGGAACGAGCUCCAGGCGAUCGAGGACAACUGGUUGGCGCAGGCGGACCUCCGGCUCUUCUCGGACGUGGUCGCGGACGCCAUCCGGAAGAUGGACAUCGCCGAGAACGUCAAGGUGGCGAGGCUGAAUCGCUGGUUUGACAGCGUCGAGGGGCUCUCCCAUGCUGAUGCUCGAGCUCUGGCUGCCACUCUCGGUGUCACCG
rnacentral:lncRNA from 1 species